UGGGUGGCGAGUGGCGGACGGGUGAGGAAUACAUCGGAAUCUACUCUGUCGUGGGGGAUAACGUAGGGAAACUUACGCUAAUACCGCAUACGACCUACGGGUGAAAGCAGGGGAUCUUCGGACCUUGCGCGAUUGAAUGAGCCGAUGUCGGAUUAGCUAGUUGGCGGGGUAAAGGCCCACCAAGGCGACGAUCCGUAGCUGGUCUGAGAGGAUGAUCAGCCACACUGGAACUGAGACACGGUCCAGACUCCUACGGGAGGCAGCAGUGGGGAAUAUUGGACAAUGGGCGCAAGCCUGAUCCAGCCAUACCGCGUGGGUGAAGAAGGCCUUCGGGUUGUAAAGCCCUUUUGUUGGGAAAGAAAUCCAGCCGGCUAAUACCUGGUUGGGAUGACGGUACCCAAAGAAUAAGCACCGGCUAACUUCGUGCCAGCAGCCGCGGUAAUACGAAGGGUGCAAGCGUUACUCGGAAUUACUGGGCGUAAAGCGUGCGUAGGUGGUCGUUUAAGUCCGUUGUGAAAGCCCUGGGCUCAACCUGGGAACUGCAGUGGAUACUGGGCGACUAGAGUGUGGUAGAGGGUAGCGGAAUUCCUGGUGUAGCAGUGAAAUGCGUAGAGAUCAGGAGGAACAUCCAUGGCGAAGGCAGCUACCUGGACCAACACUGACACUGAGGCACGAAAGCGU
rnacentral:rRNA from 1 species